UACGUAGGGGGCGAGCGUUGUCCGGAAUCAUUGGGCGUAAAGCGCGCGUAGGCGGUUCGGUAAGUCUGCUGUGAAAGUCGGGGGCUCAACCCUCGGAUGCCGGUGGAUACUGUCGAGCUUGAGUGCGGAAGAGGCGAGUGGAAUUCCUGGUGUAGCGGUGAAAUGCGCAGAUAUCAGGAGGAACACCAAUUGCGAAGGCAGCUCGCUGGGACGUUACUGACGCUGAUGCGCGAAAGCGUGGGGAGCAAACAGG
rnacentral:rRNA from 1 species